rnacentral:lncRNA from 1 species
ACCCCAUUCACUAAUAUUGUCAAAAGGGGAUUGAUUGUAUCAGUUAAGUCUAACCAUUCUUCAACCCUGGCCACACCUUUCUUCCUCUACUGUUUCAGAACAAGGUACAGUAGGUUUUCCUUCACAUAAAUGAAAUCACAAUCAUGUGAAUGCUGUGAAUGCUGGAUUAGGCUGAAAUGCUAGAAGAAACAAAAGUGAGACAAAUGUGAAGAUCUGUGUCCAUUUCUCAGCAGCACGUAUCAAUUGCAUCGUGGUUAGAGAAUGUAUCCAGAGGGUGAAGCAUGAUGCUUUAUUUGGAAAGCAUUUAAGGACAUGAAACGUUAUCUCUAGAGGGGAGUAAAUCAAGGCAAACGUGGAAUUUAGUAUAGCUCCUACCCUAGAUUAAAACUCCUGCCUAGGGCCGGGUAUGGUGACUCACACCUGUAAUCCCAGCACUCUGGGGGGGGCGAGGCAGGCAGAUCACAAUGUCAAGAGAUCUAGACCAUCCUGGCCGACAUGGUGAAACCCCAUCUCUACUAAAAAUACAAAAAAAUUAGCCAGUCAUGGUGGCACAUGCUUGUAGUCCCAGCUAUUCGGGAGGCUGAGGCAGGAGACUUGCUUGAACCCGGGAGGCAGAGGUUGCAGUGAGCUGAGAUUGUGCCACUGCACUCCAGCCUGGCGACAGAGUGAGACUCCGUCUCAAAAAAAAAAAAAAAAAAAAAAGAAAAACCCACAAACAAACAAAAAACUCCUCCCUGGAGAUUGAGUUUCGUGAGGAGAGAGACACAACCGUCACGUCCCCAGCACCCAGCCCAGGCCUGGCAUGUUAGAAGAACUUAAUGGAUAUUUUUGGAAUGCAUGAAUGGUGAACAAACAUAAAAUGUGUACUUCUUUUGGUGGAGGAGCUAUUUUUUGUGAGAAUAAGAGUGAAUACUUGUCUACUACUCCAAAAGAGAGACUGAAAUGAUGAUAACACUGGCAGUAGAAUUCAGUUCCCAGAAGGGAGAAUCUUACAAUCAUUCGGACUGUUAAAUGAAGGGACACCACUGCCUUAAGAGAAGGUGGACUUCUAGGUGUGGAGAGCAUUCAAAGAAAGGAUGCUCCCGUUCUUUGCCCCCGCUCAAUCAGUUGUGUAACAGGGGACAUUCCUCCAUGGAAUAGGGAGUUUUUCAGGAGACAUUUAGGACCACUUUAACUGUAAGAGUCCCAGAUUCUAAACGUUGGAGGUGGGCAGUGUGUAUUCUGGGAAGAGGGAAAUUCCCAAAGGUGUGGGCUGGAGCUAUUACAAUUGUGGAGUUGACAAGAGACUCUAAUUAACUGAGGACAGAUCAUGCAGCCAUCUAACACCCAAGUAAUUCAUACUCCCCUCAUUCAUUUCCGGAAUCCCUUGAUAACACUCCCUUGACAUGAUUUCUGUUCUUGAGGUCCCAAAGUACGGUCCACUAAAAUGAGAAUGUGCCGGAAUGUGGUGGUUAGCCCUGGCAGGAAUCUCCUGUCCCACUGAAGGAUAGCAGGCGUUUCCUCUCCCUCUUCCUGCUCAUGGCCUGUGAAGGAAGAACUAAUGGAAUGAGUUUGGGGGCAGAUGAAUACCCCUGAGGUGCGCUGGCCCUAUCCUUUCCCUUAGACCAUUUGCCUUUAACUCUCUCUUGAACAACUGUUCGGUAAAGUUAAUAGCUACAAGCUCUUCAGGGGAAGGUUUGUUAAAAUCACGUCCAAGAAAAUAAAUAUAAUGAAUGAACAAUCUCUGGAGAAAGCCUUGACAUUUAAAAAAAAAUGUAAAUUAGUCUCACAAGGAUCCGCUAUGAAAUAGGCAAAGUGCAUUAGUACAAAUGAGAUAUUUUUACAGCGAUUAUAGGAGCCAUCUCCUGGGGACCACACCUGAACUCUUAAGGGCUGAACCAAAAGCCAGUUGUGUACCCAGGAAUCUAGCGUGACAGAUUUGAAUGUAUUCCACUAAUAACUCUCCUCACCCCAUGCCUGCAUUUCAGUGCACGGUUCCCCUGUUGCUCAAUGAGCUUUGAUACAAGGAUGCUGGAGCAUGGCUUUGAACUCCUCUGAACCCAAUUAUACCCAACCAUUUGGAAGUGCCAUGGUGAGAUGAUGGCAGAACAGUGCUCUCUGAACUAGCAUACAGAGAGUUCACGAAGUAGCUGACUGUGGCGCGUGUGGCAGCCAAUUCAUACGUAGAAGUGGGCUGCCAGUGGCACCGCUGCCUGCCAGCCUGAAGCAAGCAUGGAGAAUAUAAAAGGGAAAUUCAAUUAGUUAACCAAAAACGGAUUGAGCAAAGUGAAGGGGCAGCUGGUGGCAGCUUCCACACUUUGAUUUGCAAGAGAGAUGUCUUGCUCCAGCACGGGCUCCUUGCACUGGGUGAAUGUGUCAAAGGAGAGAGCUUCCUCGCAGUGAGGGGGAGGCAUUUCCCCUCCCCGGAGUAAUUCCCUGCUCUUCAGUCAUAAUGGAAGUCCCUUCUCCAGGUGGGAAUCCCAGGCUUUUUCUCUCCAAAUCAGCUUGGGACCAAUUAAGACGUCCGCAAUAGAAAAAAAGAGGGCUCAGCAGUCAGGCUAUUGCUCUUUCCCCACAGGGUGGGAGGCUGACGCACUUUCUUAUCAAACGACGUGUAUGGUACUCAGGAUGAAAAAAAAAAAAAAAAAGGAGGCUUUUGUGACCAGGCUCUAAGGAAAGGAGCUGUAUUUUAUUUCUAUCAUAAAUCUGUUUUGUUUUAUGGCCUGAACAUAAAAUCUUAAAAUGACGUUUUAAAUCUGGACUAACAUGGAUCCGUUUUCGCCUAUUGCAGCCGACCUGACCUGCAGGCCCCUGAUGUGGGGUUGCCAUUCACACUUGUCAUCUUUAAAGUUUGGGGAGGUCACAAGGUGAGGAGCUAGAGUGGUUAAUUUCUCAACUUUGCUGGAGGUCAGAAAUCACCAGAUCUUUACAAUGCAGCAGUCCGUUUUGUUAGGCUCCUUGACUUCUCAAACAAUGUGUCGGCCAGUGGUUCUCCUUAAGCAUCCAAAAUAUGUUACUAAAGGAGGUUUCGUUGUUUAGAUGGAGUGAGAUGAACACGUACGUGAAGUGACCCCUCCCAGCAUCUGGCAGUACGGACGCGCCGUUGCCUGAGGAUUUUGCAUCUGACAUGCUGGGGUGGUGGGUCCUGCCCCAGCCUGCCCCUGGGUCGCAUGGGAGCCAGGGAUUAAAUAAACGCCCCCGGCCCGGUGCGGUGGCUCACGCCUGUAAUCCCAGCACUUUAGGAGGCUGAGGUCGGCGGAUCACCUGAAGUCAGGAGUUCGAGACCAGCCAGGCCAACAUAGUGAAACUGCUUGUCUACUAAAAAUACAAAAAAAUAGCCGGGCAUGGUUGUGUGCAUCUUGUAGUCCCAGCUACUCUGGAGGCUGAGACAGGAGAAUCACGUGAACCUGGGAGGCGGAGCUUGCAGUGAGCCGAGAUGGCACUACUGCACUCCAGCCUGGGCAACAAAGCAAGACUCUGUCUCAAAAAAAAAAAAAAAAAAAAAAAAAAAAAAAAAUGCCCCCACCUCCACCGUGCUCUGUCAUCUCAGAGAGGGGGCCCCCUAACCCACACCUCCUCAGCACCCCCUCUAUUUGCUAAGACCACCCUGCUGCCUGGUCUCUCUGCUCUGCAUCCCACCUAUUAGUUUUGUCAGCCUUCCUCUUCCUGAUUUUGUGUCAAACCAAAAGAAAACUCUUUCGUUUUUGAGCUUCUGGAGGACAGAGGUACCCAUCCCUCCAGGAGCCACCAGAACCUUGCUAAGUCUUAGGCAAAUAAACCUUUCUCAUCUUCUUUCUGGCCUUUUAUCCCCUUCCACUCCCAGUCCAAGCUUUCCUUAAUAGAUCUAAACUCCCCAAAUCACAGCCUGAGUGGGAGAUUUCCUUGUGGGUACUUUCAAUUUCUGUUUUUAGCCUUUCAAUAAGAAGACGUUAACUACCUUGUUAGUUCAGAAAGGCUAGGCUCGGAACACAAAGAGCUUUUGGUACAGCAGUGGAAAAAAUACCUCUGAUUUAUUUCUGCCUAGGUUAAAAUAAAACACAAAUUAAUAUAUGGAAUGACAUUUUCUGCCACACCGAUGUCAGUGUUCAUUUAGAACAUGGAUCACAGCAAACAUCUUAGGUGCUUCCUCCCCCUCCCUUCCAAUACGUGAGAAGCAGCCUCAUUCUUUUACUUUUCCAGUGGCUCUCACAUGUUUGCUGUAAGAUGAAAACCUUCCUUUCAUCCAGACUGCUUCUGGCCCUCUGUUCCUCUUUGUGCUCUGGAAAAGCUUCCUAACCGGGCUCCCUACCUGUGGUCUUUCUCCGUUUUAGUGUAUCAUGUAAUAAUGGUAUUCAUUCCUCUGUGUGCCAGGAACUGGGCUAAGCACUUUGCACAAAUUAUCUCAGUGUGUCUUUACUAGGGCCCUGAGGGCUAGAGAUUGUUAUUGUGCAGGCGUCUAAUGAUUUUCUUUAAUUCUCUUGAAUUUGCAGUGGUGUUAGUUUGCCUGUUGCGUGAAGUCCAAAUGCCUUUAGCACCCUCAUGGCCUGACUUGAACCAACGUUCUCGAUUUAUCUAAUAGUUACUACUCCUAAAACUGAGCCAGCUGGAUGGCACAGACUUCUCUGAUGAUCCCAUGAUCCCAUCUUUUUUUUUUUUUUAAUACCUAUACUGUUUUUAACCCUUCAUUCUUGUCUUCUGCCUCCCCUUUCUCUUGAAUUAUUUCACCUUCCAUGUGCUCCUCAUCUGUGGAAA